rnacentral:rRNA from 1 species
UACGUAGGUGACAAGCGUUAUCCGGAAUUACUGGGCGUAAAGCGCACGCAGGCGGCUGCGUAAGUCUGACGUGAAAUCUCCCGGCUUAACCGGGAGCGGUCGUUGGAAACUAUGCGGCUUGAGGCGAUGAGAGGGGUGUGGAAUUCCCGGUGUAGUGGUGGAAUGCGUAGAUAUCGGGAGGAACAUCAGUGGCGAAGGCGGCACCCUGGCAUUAGCCUGACGCUCAGGUGCGAAAGCGUGGGGAGCGAACGGG